CCGGCCGGAGCCAGACGCCGAGGCCCGAGCGCGCCCAAGCCCGCCCCUCGGGAGCCGCGGGCCAGGCCCCCGCCGGGGCCUCAGCGGCUGAGCCCGACUCCCGGCUGCCUUCCGGCCCUCCCCGCCAGAGGACGACUCCGAGCCCCCCACCGCACUCUCGGGGAUCUAUGGGCGUUGACUCCCCCGGGCUUCCCGUACCUCUGCCCACCUGGCCCAGGCAGGACCCCGCAGUUCGUCCGCCUCCCAGGCCCGGCCGUCCCCCAGCCUCUGUGCUCCGGGCAGCGGCUUCAGUCCCUUUCCCUGGGUGACCAGGCUGUGUAUGUGGUUCGUGUCUGUUCCACAGCGACACGGGACCCACAGUGGGCCAUCUGCACUCCCGAGGAAGCCGCCGGCAGCUACUGGGCAGUGGGCGAGCAGGCAGCCCGGAGGCCCUGCCCAGCCCCGCGCCUCCCGGUACAGCAGUGUGUAGUCUCCUGAGCAUCUCCCCUUCUAUGCGCGCCAGGCGAACCCAACAUGCAAGGCCCGCGGGAGCUGGGAGCAGAGCCCGGCCACAGGCUCCUUCUGAGCGGGUCUCCGAGUGGCCUCGCAGCGGAAGCAGGGGAGGUUUCCCUCCACCAGGCUUCUGAAGAAAGUGAUGCAAACGAGGCGCCAGGGAGACAGAGUGGUGCCAGCGUGGGAUGGGGGCGGGCCCGCUCCCGCCUUCCUCCAUCAGAUGGGGCAGCCAGGCUCUCUGGGCUCAGCAAGGGCUUUUCCGCCUCCGCCUCCGCCUCCGGGGGCCCGGACCCAGGGGAACACAGCAGUGCCUGGGGGCAGUUUGAAGGCUUUCGGGAAUCUUCAGCCACGUUCGAACAAUUCUCUCAGCCCUUCGAAUCCCCAGAGAGGGCCGCAGCACCUCAGCCGCCAAGAACUGCUUCUGCCCAAAAGGAGUGUGGCUCUCAGCACUCUCACGAGGGCGGCCCUUGGGUGACAGGAGCAGCCGCCAUCUCACCUUCCGAGCCCAUUCUCAGCUAUGAGAACAUUUUUAGGUUUGCUUUUCAAGAAGUACCAGUGCAGCAGGUGACUGAAGAUGUUCCCACCUUACAUCAUCUCUUAGAGAUUGGCAGUGAGGAACCAGACCUUGGGUCUGCACACAAAUGCUGUCCUGAAUCCAGAAAACUCUGGAGAGCUCUUCAGAGCGCAGACGGCACAGCCACGUCCCGCUGCCUGUGGCGUGAGUCCCGCUGCCAGGAAAACUUCCUCCUUGUCCUUGGAGUAGAUGCUGCUCAGAACCUUUCUGGAGGCCAGGGUCACGGUUCCGAAGGCUCCAAGCUCUGGGAGCCUGCAGAAGUCGGGGUGUCCAGCCUCCGCCUGCACAGCUGCAGAGCGUUGAUGCAGACCAAGGUGAGUGCCAGACGGCCGCGGGAGGGAGGCUGUGCUGGCUGCCUGGGCCUCCACGUCUGAGUCACUUGGUUCAUUCAGACGAACGUUUCCACUGUCCAGGGCAGUGGGCUACUGGUACAAGCGUGUCACUGCAAAGACCCACAGGGCAGGGCUGGGGGGGGUGAGCGGGUCUCAGGACCUGGUAGAAGGAGGGAGGUGCUGCGUGGCCUGUUCAUCAGCUUUUCUUCAUGGUCUGAAGUUCCUGCAACAGCGGUAGUGUCACCUGUCACAGGGGCUCAGGCAGGAAGGGACAGACAAGUGGGUGGGAGAGGACAAGCUUUCGCGGGGACAGGUCUCCUGCCUGCCCCUGGAAGCGGGUCUUCUGAGGAGCACCAUAACCAGUCGGCUUCCAAGGGCUCCAGCCUGGAGGGGCCCUUCCCCCACCAGGGGACUCAGAGCAUGGUUGGGGUUCGCUCUACAUGCCGCCCCCCACUCCCAGAAGGUAGGGGUGGCACGUGGUGGUGAGUCCAGCACGAGGAUCUGCUUUGAUGGUCGGCGUGGACAGUGCCCUGCAGGUGCUGUGGGGCUGCAGAAGGGCCCUCUCCAGGGGUGCCCAGCACUCGGCGUCCAUCUGCUUUAGGAAGACAGCACGGGCAGGGGGCAGAAAGUUGAGGAGGUGCAAGGCACAGGCCGUGUUAGAGCACCAGGACAAAUGUCCCAGCGGCUGUCAGGUGGGAGUUUGUGAUCAGCCCAGCAGUGAACACUGGGACGAGAACAUGAAGGGCAGUGUGUCCUCCACAGAGAGACCAGACACCCAGCAUGAGGGCCAUGUGACCCCACCUAAGAAACAGGAACCCACCACUGUCCUGAGGGCCACAGGCCAGGGUUGUAGUCUUUUGGGACGCAGAGGCCGGCCACACCCCCAGCGUUUGCUGGGUAGUCACAGAGCUGUGCACCUGUGCCCGUGUCUCACUAACGCCUGAGAGAAACGCCCCACGGCCUCGCCGAGGGCGGCAGGGUGGGGCGGGCUGCCGCACGCAUGUCCUGUUGCUGCGCAUGCUCCAUCCUGACCGUGUGCCAUCUCCCACCAGCUCUCAGGGACGCCGGGCGGCAGCCAGGGGAGCCUCAUCACAUACAGCCUCUUUCUGCAGACGCCCUUCUGCGGGCACGGGCGGUGCGUCA